rnacentral:rRNA from 1 species
AGGAUGAACGCUGGCGGCGUGCUUAACACAUGCAAGUCGAACGAUGAAAGCCGGAGCUUGCUCUGGCUGGAUUAGUGGCGAACGGGUGAGUAACACGUGAGUAACCUGCCCUUGACUCUGGGAUAAGCACUGGAAACGGUGUACUAAUACCGGAUACGAGCUUCAGCCGCAUGGCUAGGAGCUUA